rnacentral:rRNA from 1 species
AGGUUGAUGCUGGCUCAGGACGAACGCUGGUUGCGUGCUUAACGCUUGUCCGUCAAACGGACCAGGGGAGCUUGCUCCCCAGCUUAUUGGCGGACGGGUGACGUAAUGUAUGACCAUCCUGCCUUUCUGAUGGGGACCACGGUUGUAAUCCACUGCUAAUACCGCCUAUGAUAUUGAUGGGGCAUCCCGUCCAUAUCGAAGGAGCAAUCCGCUGAAAGAUGGGCUCAUAUCUGAUUAUCUGGUUGGUGGGGUAACGGCCCACCAAGGCUGCGAUCACUAGCCGGACUGAGAGGUUGAACGGCCACGUUGGGACUGAGAUACGGCCCACACUCCUACAGGAGGCAGCAGUGGGGAAUAUUGGCGCAAUGGGCGCAGAGCCUGACCCAGCAACGCCGCGUGAAGGAAGAAGGCUUUCUGGGUUGUAAACUUCUUUUAAGGGGGAAGAGUAGAAGACUGUACCCGUAGAAUAAGCCACGGCUAAAUACGUGCCAGCAGCCGCGGUAAUACGUAGGUGGCAAGCGUUGUCCGGAUUUACUGGGUGUAAAGGGCGUGUAGCCGGGGAGGCAAGUCAGAUGUGAAAUCUAUGGGCUUAACCCAUAAACUGCAUUUGAAACUGUUUCUCUUGAGUGCUGGAGGGGCAAUCGGAAUUCCUUGUGUAGCGGUGAAAUGCGUAGAUAUAAGGAAGAACACCAGUGGCGAAGGCGGAUUGCUGGACAGUAACUGACGGUGAGGCUCGAAAGUGUGGGGAGCAAACAGGAUGAGAUACCCUGGUAGUCCACACCGUAAACGAUCAAUACUACGUGUGCGGGGACUGACCC